CCUUGGCCACCGCCCUCCCCACAUGGAUGGGAUCCCCCGCCUCCAAUUCCUCCUCCUCCUCCCCCAAUGGCGGCGCCCACCUCUCGCCACCGUCCCCCCUCUCCGUCCUCACACGCGCCGCCCACCUCAGACCGCUCUCCCCUCUCAGACCCAUCCUCCCUCCGCUCCUCUCCGCCCAAUGUUCGAGCAGCCGCCCUGAUUAAGCGCGCCCGCAAAGGCCUACGUAGGCCGGCCGCGUUGCAGCCUCCCAGCCGCAGAGGGUCCAAGAUGGGUCUGUUCGCGUAUAGCACCCUGUUGAUCCACCUGAGCAGGCUCAACACGACGGCCACGGUCAUGGACAGGCACCACCAGCAGCUUAGAGAGGGUUUGAAGCCAAAUUUACGCCGUGAUUCAAUGCAUUGUGCAAGGAUGGAACAAUGGCUUGGAUUCUGCACUUGAGGUUUUCAAUCGAAUGGAUAAAGAGGGGCGUGAGCCAAACGCCGCGACAUACUCAACCCUGAUCAAUUCGCUGUGCGAUAGUAGGAAGGUGAACGAGACACUGGAUUUGAUUAGCAAAAUGACACGGUGUGGUGUUUUGCUGUCCCUAUUGCUGCGUUGUGUGGCAUGGGGCGCAUUCAAGAUGCCUGGAAGCUGUUUGUUUAUAUGAAAAAGAAGGGAUGCUGACCAACUGUGUGUACGACUAUACGUACAGUCACUUAUAAGUGAGCAGCUUUUGUCAAGGAUGUCCAUUGGACUAUUUCAUAGGUUGGCAAAGAGAUGGAGUGCUCCCUAAUAUGGUGACAUAAUGCUUUGAUGAAUGUUCUGGUGGAGGAAGGAUAGAAAAAUGGAUUCUGCACGUACUGUUUGUAAUGUGAUGCAGAGACAUGGUUGUUUACCAGACACCGUGACAUACAAUGUAUUGAUCAAGGGCUAUUGCACAAUUGGUAAUACUGAUAAGUCAAUGUCCAUGCUGAUCAAUAUGUUUGAGGGCAGAGCUACAGCUACACUUCUGACACACAACACCAUCAUCAAAGGAUACUGUGACUCAGGGAAUACUGCUGCUGAUGAUGAUGAGUGGUCUUAUACUCAACUGAUCUUUGGCUUUUCCAAGAUGGGUGAAAUGGAAUCAGCUUAUCAAAUGUUCAAUGAAAUGAGGGACCAUGGGUUUUGCCCAAAUGAAGUUACCUACACUGCACCCAUAAGUGGAUACUGCAAGGACGAGAAACUGGAAUGUGCAACAAGAAUGUUUGAACACAUGAAAAUAAGUGGUCGCAGACCAACUGUGCAGACUUGCAAUGUUUUAAUCCAUGGUCUAACUAAGCAUAAUAUUUUUUCUGCUGUAGAGGAACUAUUAAUAGUGAUGCUUGAAGAAAAUAUAUCACCAAAUGUAGUCACUUACACUACUAUAAUUGAUGGGUUAUGCAAAAAUGGGGCCGCAUCUUUGGCCCUUGAAAUGUUCAACAGGAUGGUUGAGCAUAACUGCUCACCUAAUUUGCAUAUUUACAGUUCUCUUAUCCAAGCUCUGGGUCAAGAAGGCAAGGUAGAGGAAGCUGAGGAAUUGUUUACAGAAUUGUGAAGCGACGGCUUAGUCCAGAUGAAGUCGCUUAUGCUAAGAUGAUCAAAGUUUAUGUAAUGUCAGGCAACGCAGAUCGUGCCUUGGAUUUUCUGUGGAAAAUGAUAACUGCUGGAUGCCGACCAACCUUGUGGAUAUGGUAUUUUAAUUGAAGGCUUGCAAAAUGAAUACCUGAUGGUGGACCAGAAACUUGUAGCCUUUCCUGAUGUAGUCUCAGACUGCAACUUUGAUUACCAAAUACUAAUUAACAAAGAUACCAUUUCAGUCUUGUCUUCUAAAUUAGCAGAACUGGAUCUUAGACUAUCUCAACAGUUGCACGAUGCAUUGUUGUCUGGAUUAAGCAGAAGUCAGAGAUGGUUUAAGGCAGUGAAGCUGUACAGACACAUGGUUGGUCAGGGUUUAUGCCCAAACCAGGAGGCAUAUAAUUGUUAUUUCACUUUUGAGAGCCCUGAAAGUUGACCUAGCUAUGGAUGUAUUCAGACAUGUGUCUGCUCAGUGUCGUGAACUCCACCUUGUUUGUUAUAAAGAACUAAUAUGUGCUUUAUGCCAACUUCAUAGAAGAAAUGAAGCCCAAUUUGGUAAUCGAGGAAUUUUAAUUCUGAUGACAUUGUAUGGACUGUUCUCAUCAAUGGACUGAUUGGGGCUGGAUACGAAGACUUGUGCAUGGAGUUUCUGCACAUCAUGGAAAAAAAUCAUCAUAAGCCUAGCUUCCGUAUGUGCACAAUUUUAGCAAGGGAAGCAUUGAAAGAGUAGCCAUAGAAUCAGCUGGACUUGAUGCACUGCAGCAAUUUGGGAUUUUCUUCUGAUGCCUGAUGUGCCAGAGCUGUUAAUCUGGAGUGAGUUAGAUGGCUAGAGGGACUUUUCGUUGUUUUGCUACUUGGUCUUCCUUGAUCCUUGUUAUCUAUUCCCAAGGCUUCCGCAUUGUGCUACCCGUGAGAAGUGAGAUCAAAGAAUGCCUAUGUGCAGCAAGUUUCAUAUCCAGUUUAGAUGUUACACGCUGAACAUUCCCAUCAUUUUGCACUCUACACUGAUUACCAACCUCCAUUUCAAACCUCAGGAUUCCUAGGGAUUGUCAGAAAUGGGAACCAGAGUUGGAAGACCCAAAAGAUCAAUUCCGUGAAUACUUCCUGGUUGCCCUUUAAUUGGAAAGUGGUGCAAGAUGCAUCAGGUGCUACACCUCUUACACUGUCCGCAUUUUGCAUAGGCAUAAAAAAGAGCUGUUUGCCCUGCCAUAAACUCAAACUGAAAACAUAUGCACAGGGUAAAGCUGUUACCAAUUUCCUGGACUCUAUUUGGACAAGUCCCUUGCGAGUUGCGAGCAUGGUUGCCUUGCUCGCUGCUCGUGGGCAUGGGAAAUCAGCCACCCUUGGUCUUGCUAUUGCUAGAGCCAUUGCAGGUGGUAAGCUCAACCAGAUGAGCCUCCCCAUAUGAGCAUGCCUUGUUGGGAUUUAGCUUCUACUUAGGCCAAAGGGGCGGUCCACGGCGCUCCUAUGCAAGCCAACACGAUGGAAAGCAGCACGCAGGCCCUCUGAACUGGGCCGCAUAAAUGUAUGAAUGCAGCAGGCACAACAUGUCAGCAAUUUGGGGCCUCCUUGGGGUUCAACGAUGGCCACCCCCGCAGCUCGAGGACGAGCUGCUAAAAUGAGCGGUGUAAUGUCAGAGGUGUAGAUCUCUCCCUUAGUCCAUUGGAGAUGAUAAGUAAGAUAUCUAUCUAGUCAGGGAAGAUGUUGAUUCAGUUAGGAAGAUAUAAAUAUGGUUUAUUAGGACAGUCAAGAUUCUAUUCUUAGGCAUAAAGUAAGACUUUCCUAUUAAAGGGACACCAUGUACCCAUAAGGAUUAUUGAAUAGAUGAGAAUAAACUACUCCCUCCAGGGGCGAAUCUACUGUACAGGCUUUAACAGGCUUGAGCCUGUCCUCCAACCGGAUCAAUUAGGCCUUUACUGCUCAUGGUACAGGGCUUAACCCAGUAAAUCGACUGCAUUUUGGCCCAUCUCAGUGCCUCUCGCUUGUUUGAGCCUGCCCUACAAUUAAGUUCUAGAUUCGCUGCUGACUCCCUCUGUUCACUUUUAUAAGACCUUGAAGACAUUUCAGACAAUGUGCCAAACAGCCUAUUUUGAGUUGUUCGAAACAACUUACAAAUCCUCGUCCGGAACCUUCUCUCCCUCUUAUCCCCGGCACCAUGGCUGGCCAACCUUCGCUCCUCGGAGCUGUAACCCCAACCGUGUCACAUUCAUCGGUCUUAGGACCGGUUCCAGUCCUAGCACAUGACAAUCUGAUACUCUAU